rnacentral:tRNA from 1 species
GCAAAAUCAAGGAAAUAUGCGUGUACUCGCAUUUCGUCGCACGUUCUCGCACAUGCCUUUUCCUAGACUACGAAUCUGGGGGUCAGGAGUUCGAAUCUCUUCGGGUGCGCCA